UGCUGUCUCGGUCCUGGCUACACGCCGAAAGUCCGGCUUCUUCAGCUGGCGCCCCGGCCCGCGUCUGACUGCGCAGCUUGGCUCAGUUCUUCCACUCUCCCCUGCCACCCCCUCCGGGAGUCAGUCCAGAAGCUCAACGGCCUCGUCCGGCCACGCCACGCCCCCUGAGACCACGCCCUCGACACGCCCCUUACAAUGCUCCUCACCCUGCCCGGCGGAAGGUAGCACCAGGCUCCGCCUAUCACAGCCUCCUGGUCCAAUCAAACGGUCACACUCCUUGGCACACCCCUGAGCUGCCCUUUGCCAACCCUCCAGCUCCGCCUCCGGCCCUGCAGCCUGGCUCCAAGCAGAGCUCGUCCCUGCCCACUACAGCCUGGAGGAUGCCAUGAUCUCGCCAAGUUCCUGGACACCGUGGAUGCUGCUGGUGCAGGGCCACGGUGAAAGAACAGAAGCAGAAAUGACCCAAAGGCAGCUGCAUUACCAAAGCCCACCCCAGCAUGGGGGACAGCCCACAAAAGCUGGGAACCUGGAGCACACAGCACAACCUGUAGGCAGCUCAACCAGUUGGAGAGUAUCCUUUCCAGAUGAUUCAGUUGGG